rnacentral:rRNA from 1 species
GAUGAACGCUGGCGGCGUGCCUAAUACAUGCAAGUCGAGCGAACAGACGCGGAGCUUGCUCCUCUGUCGUUUGCGGCGGACGGGUGAAUAACACGUGUAUACCCUCCUUAUCUGUCUGGGAUCAUUUCGGAACUCCGGCUCUAAUACCGUAUAAUAUCUUGAUCCGUAUUGUUCAAUAGUGAAAGUCGGUUUUUCUGUCUCUUAUCGCUGCUUCCGCGCCGCAUUAGCUAGUUGGUAAGGUAACGGCUUACCAAGGCAACGAUGCGUAGCCGAACUGAGGGGGUGAUCGGCCACACUGGAACUGAGACACGGUCAAGACUACUACGGGAGGCAGCAGUAGGGAAUCUUCGGCAAUGGGCGAAAGCAUGACGGAGCAACGGCGCGUGAGUGAUGAAGGUCUUCGGAUCGUAAAACUCUGUUAUGAGGGAAGAACAAAUGUGGAAGUAAAUAUGCACGGCUUGACGGUAACGAAUCAGAAAGCAACGGCUAACUACGUG